UACAGAGGGUGCGAGCGUUAAUCGGAAUUACUGGGCGUAAAACGCGCGUAGGCGGCUUUGCAAGUCGGGUGUGAAAUCCCCAGGCUUAACCUGGGAACUGCAUUCGAGACUGCAUAGCUAGAGUAUGGGAGAGGGAAGUGGAAUUUCAGGUGUAGCGGUGAAAUGCGUAGAUAUCUGAAGGAACAUCAGUGGCGAAAGCGACUUCCUGGACCAAUACUGACGCUCAUGUGCGAAAGCGUGGGGAGCAAACAGG
rnacentral:rRNA from 1 species